UACAGAGGGGGCCAGCGUUAUUCGGAAUUAUUGGGCGUAAAGGGCGCGUAGGCGGCCACGCGUGUCUUCCGUGAAAUCCCUCGGCUCAACCGAGGACGUGCGGAAGAGACUGCGAGGCUCGAGUCCAGAAGAGGGGGGCGGAAUUCCCAGUGUAGCGGUGAAAUGCGUAGAUAUUGGGAGGAACACCGGUGGCGAAGGCGGCCCCCUGGGCUGGUACUGACGCUGAUGCGCGAAAGCGUGGGUAGCAAACAGG
rnacentral:rRNA from 1 species